GCCUGCUUUACCUUGUCAUAAUUCUUGCUGUCCUCUCUGGGUACAGCCCGGUAGGCGUCUGCUGCACGCCCAGACAGUUUGCCUGCCAACAAAGGUACCCACAUAGCUUGCUCUACAUCAUGCAAGUCACACAAUCUUUCAAAAUCUUGCAAGAAUCCAUCUAUUUCGUCUUUAUCCUCGCAAAAAGUUUUAAAUGUAUGAUGUGGUAUUUUUGGCCUUCCCUGGCCCACAGUUGAAACAGCAGCGGUUUCUGCUUGAGGUGAGAAGGCUUGAUUCCUUUGCG